GUCUUGUCAAUUAUGUUUUUAAACACAAAUGUCUGAACAAAUGAUUUCCAGUGAUUUCACUUUUUUGUUUCUGAGACAAGAC
rnacentral:snoRNA from 1 species